GCGCGAAUCUCACAUUAAUUGAAAUAGUACGUCUAGUAGUUAACCUUUAAGAAUUCACUGUAAUUAUUUAUCUUUCUUAUAUUCUAUAAAAAUUAUUUAAAAGUAUAGAAAAUGUGUACAUUUUCGUUAGAAACAAAUUUUCCAAUUCCCACAACCUUUACACAAUCGAUCUGCUUUCUAAAACCUUUUGAAACUGAAGUAAUGUUCGAGUAAACAAAACAUUUCCAUCUUCCGAUUGCUCUUGAAAGUUUAGUAAAGUAUUGAUGGCAUUUAUCGCAUCCUUUGUUGAUAACAAAUACUGUGACUCUUCCUCUUCUUCAUCGGUUUCAAACUCUCGUUCAUCAAGAAAUUGAGCAGCAACUUGGUUAACGAUAUCGUCAUUAGUGUCAGCAGAAUUUUCUUCAAUAGGGUUAAUAAAAUUUUCGAUUUGGAAAAUAUCCUUAUCACCAAGGUAUUUUCCUAUCAAUUCUUGCAAAUUCACCGCGAUUCUAAUGGUUUCUGGAGAAGGACCGGUCAGUGGUUGCUGAUUUUGAAAAAGCCCAGAACGAAGGAAACA